rnacentral:lncRNA from 1 species
CUUCACGCCUUCACCUUGGACCCCUUCCUCCCUUUUUCUCUCCCGUGCGGCGCAGCGGCUGUGCCUUCAAGCGCUGCUGGAUGGCCAUGGCGCCCAGGAGAAAGCCCUCCGGGUACCAGAAGCCUUGGUAUUUUCUGGAAGGAACCCAUCCUUUCUCCAGAGGGAGAGUUGAGAUGAAGUCAUCGUAAUCUUCAAUACGCCGUGGAGAAGGGUGGUCCUCCUGUUCUUCUAUAACCUUGAACGGAAUGGGGGCACAAGAGCGAGGGGGAUAAGUGGCCAUGGCAGGAUGGACGAAGCUCCAAUGCUGAUCUUCUGCUCCUAUAAGCAAUAACUUUUGAUACGUAAUGACAACGAUUAGAGGAGACGUUUUUCUUUUUUUUAAGCAUUAGUUGGAAGCAAGCGCCACGGCCGAUCUUUUUUUUUUACUUUUUCUUGAUUUGACAAAUUGUACUAUUGCCAUUUUCAUCAAAAAUAUUAAAAAAAUACAUCAUGACUGACAGCUGCUGACCUGCAGAACCGUCCUGUAGAUUUGGUUUAGAUUUUUUUUUUUGAUUCUUAAAACAAAAAAAAUGUUUUUGAUCCCACGGGCCUCUGUUUUUGAUCGCGUCAGAUCGAACUCCACUAAGAACUGCAUCUAAUGGUCGAUUCAGAUUUGAAAACGGCUCGUGCACUGAACUUUCGCAUAAUUUGGACCCGGACCCGAUCCGGACCCGACCCGAACCCGAUCCGGACCCGACCAGAUCCGGACCCGACCCGACCCGAAUGACCCAUCGGGGUAGGUAUGGACCCGACCCGACCCGAUCCGUUUUUCAACCGGGUCGGGUCUGGGUCCAAAAUUAGGACCCGAACAUGCAACCGGGUCGGAUCG